ACCAUCUGAGCCACCAGGGAAGCCCACCAUCCCUGAUAGAAGAGGACUGGUCUUCCGUCAAGGGUAUAGGAGUAGCUGUGCUCCCCUGCUAGAACUUCCAAACAAGCUAUCAAGGUGUCCUUAUAAGAAGAGGAAAUUAGG
rnacentral:sRNA from 1 species